AGAGAGUAUUUUAGUUAAGAGG
rnacentral:snRNA from 1 species